GAUAAGUGGAAGCAGUAUUGCAAAAUAUUGCUGUCUGCUCUGCCAGCCAGCUGGCUUUUGGUCCUUUUUUCCAAGGCGGAAAUAUGCAUGGUGUUCAGUCUGAGUUGUCUCUGUCUUGAUUCACAAGAGUGGAUGAGAUAGAGUGGAUGUGAAAAGCAUGCGUAUUAUUGUAUCUGUUGGUAAUAAUCAAGAGAAGAAUGGCCAUGAAAAUUCAUCUUAAAAUCUGCCUCCAAGUCCUUUUGUUCCUUUGGCUUGAACAAAAGCUGCAAGGCACAAGUCCAACUGACUCGUCAGUCUCUGAUGCAAACCUGAUGUUUGAGAUUUUGCUGGGAGGGGUAGAGAUUGAUGAGGACAACAACGUUGUCCUGCUUGACAAGGAGCUGGCAUCGCUGAGGUCGGGAC